rfam:Micromonospora humi strain DSM 45647 genome assembly, contig: Ga0070213_113
CCGGUUCCGGUUCACGUCCGAGCCCGUCGCGACGACGGGCAGCACCGAGGGCGACCCGGCGACC